CCCUGCGCCCCCUGCCGGCCGCGGGCCACACUGCAUGCGACACGGCCCCGCCCUCCCAGCCUCUGCACCUGCCACCGGUCCCCACGC
rnacentral:miRNA from 1 species